AAAGAGGCUUCUCCAACCCGACCCGGCCCUUCCUUCCCCUUUGCCGCAGUGGUUGCCUCCUCCUCCCCUUCCUCCUCCUCUGGCUGCUUAGUCUCACACCCGCCGGGCCGUUGCUCCCGAGACGUUGUUGAGUUCCCUGUGUCCUCUUCUGGGAGCUAGAUAAGGGCCUGGUUCAACUUCUCAGUAUUCAGGGAAUAGAUUCCCUGCUUACUCCCUUCCUUCCUUUGGAUGCCACAAAAUGAGCACUUGACUGAAAGUAUGCUUAUAUGCGUUUUUACAGACUACGCCAAGCCACAGCAAAUCCCUGAUUGCAGUAUAACUAACUAAAUAAAUUGCACAGGACUUGUGUACAUCAACUCCCAGCAAAGUCCAAAGAUCAAAGUUGAAAGAGGAUACUGAAUUCCUUCCCAGAUUUCUGGGACACUGCUUCUGUGGACUGUCACCAAAUAAAUCCUGGA
rnacentral:sRNA from 1 species